rnacentral:rRNA from 1 species
AGCUCGAUGAGUAGGGCGGGACACGUGGUAUCCUGUCUGAAUAUGGGGGGACCAUCCUCCAAGGCUAAAUACUCCUGACUGACCGAUAGUGAACCAGUACCGUGAGGGAAAGGCGAAAAGAACCCCGGCGAGGGGAGUGAAAAAGAACCUGAAACCGUGUACGUACAAGCAGUGGGAGCCUCUUAAUGGGGUGACUGCGUACCUUUUGUAUAAUGGGUCAGCGACUUAUAUUCUGUAGCAAGGUUAACCGAAUAGGGGAGCCGAAGGGAAACCGAGUCUUAACUGGGCGUUAAGUUGCAGGGUAUAGACCCGAAACCCGGUGAUCUAGCCAUGGGCAGGUUGAAGGUUGGGUAACACUAACUGGAGGACCGAACCGACUAAUGUUGAAAAAUUAGCGGAUGACUUGUGGCUGGGGGUGAAAGGCCAAUCAAACCGGGAGAUAGCUGGUUCUCCCCGAAAGCUAUUUAGGUAGCGCCUCGUGAAUUCAUCUCCGGGGGUAGAGCACUGUUUCGGCAAGGGGGUCAUCCCGACUUACCAACCCGAUGCAAACUGCGAAUACCGGAGAAUGUUAUCACGGGAGACACACGGCGGGUGCUAACGUCCGUCGUGAAGAGGGAAACAACCCAGACCGCCAGCUAAGGUCCCAAAGUCAUGGUUAAGUGGGAAACGAUGUGGGAAGGCCCAGACAGCCAGGAUGUUGGCUUAGAAGCAGCCAUCAUUUAAAGAAAGCGUAAUAGCUCACUGGUCGAGUCGGCCUGCGCGGAAGAUGUAACGGGGCUAAACCAUGCACCGAAGCUGCGGCAGCGACACUAUGUGUUGUUGGGUAGGGGAGCGUUCUGUAAGCCUGUGAAGGUGUACUGUGAGGUAUGCUGGAGGUAUCAGAAGUGCGAAUGCUGACAUAAGUAACGAUAAAGCGGGUGAAAAGCCCGCUCGCCGGAAGACCAAGGGUUCCUGUCCAACGUUAAUCGGGGCAGGGUGAGUCGACCCCUAAGGCGAGGCCGAAAGGCGUAGUCGAUGGGAAACAGGUUAAUAUUCCUGUACUUGGUGUUACUGCGAAGGGGGGACGGAGAAGGCUAUGUUGGCCGGGCGACGGUUGUCCCGGUUUAAGCGUGUAGGCUGGUUUUCCAGGCAAAUCCGGAAAAUCAAGGCUGAGGCGUGAUGACGAGGCACUACGGUGCUGAAGCAACAAAUGCCCUGCUUCCAGGAAAAGCCUCUAAGCAUCAGGUAACAUCAAAUCGUACCCCAAACCGACACAGGUGGUCAGGUAGAGAAUACCAAGGCGCUUGAGAGAACUCGGGUGAAGGAACUAGGCAAAAUGGUGCCGUAACUUCGGGAGAAGGCACGCUGAUAUGUAGGUGAAGUCCCUCGCGGAUGGAGCUGAAAUCAGUCGAAGAUACCAGCUGGCUGCAACUGUUUAUUAAAAACACAGCACUGUGCAAACACGAAAGUGGACGUAUACGGUGUGACGCCUGCCCGGUGCCGGAAGGUUAAUUGAUGGGGUUAGCGGUAACGCGAAGCUCUUGAUCGAAGCCCCGGUAAACGGCGGCCGUAACUAUAACGGUCCUAAGGUAGCGAAAUUCCUUGUCGGGUAAGUUCCGACCUGCACGAAUGGCGUAAUGAUGGCCAGGCUGUCUCCACCCGAGACUCAGUGAAAUUGAACUCGCUGUGAAGAUGCAGUGUACCCGCGGCAAGACGGAAAGACCCCGUGAACCUUUACUAUAGCUUGACACUGAACAUUGAGCCUUGAUGUGUAGGAUAGGUGGGAGGCUUUGAAGUGUGGACGCCAGUCUGCAUGGAGCCGGCCUUGAAAUACCACCCUUUAAUGUUUGAUGUUCUAACGU